rnacentral:rRNA from 1 species
CGGACCUAGGAGGCAGCAGUGGGGAAUAUUGGGCAAUGGGCGCAAGCCUGACCCAGCAACGCCGCGUGAAGGAAGAAGGCUUUCGGGUUGUAAACUUCUUUUCUCAGGGACGAAGCAAGUGACGGUACCUGAGGAAUAAGCCACGGCUAACUACGUGCCAGCAGCCGCGGUAAUACGUAGGUGGCAAGCGUUAUCCGGAUUUACUGGGUGUAAAGGGCGUGUAGGCGGGGACGCAAGUCAGAUGCGAAAACCAUGGGCUCAACCUGUGGCCUGCAUUUGAAACUGAGUUUCUUGAGUACUUGAGA